UACGUAGGCAGCGAGCGUUGUUCGGAAUUACUGGGCGUAAAGAGUGUGUAGGCGGUGUUCCCAGUCUGUUGUGAAAUCUCCCGGCUUAACUGGGAGGGUGCAGCGGAAACUAGAAUGCUAGAGGGUGGGAGAGGUAAGCGGAAUUCCUGGUGUAGCGGUGAGAUGCGUAGAUAUCAGGAGGAACACCUGUGGUGUAGACAGCUUACUGGACCACUUCUGACGCUGAGACACGAAAGCGUGGGUAGCAAACAGG
rnacentral:rRNA from 1 species